rnacentral:rRNA from 1 species
AGCACUUGGGAGAUGCUUUUUAGUUUAAUAAAUAGUAGCCUAUAUGCCUACUAUUUAUUAUAAUUAAAUAUUCAAAUUUUGAAUAUAGUUCUAGGUAAAAUAUUGAUAAUGACAAAGUUUUAUCUACAUGUCUUGACCAAAUCUUGUGCCAGCAGUCGCGGCAACACAAGGAAGACUAGUGUUAUUCAUCUUAAAUCGGUUUAACGGGUACCUAGACGGUAAAUUAGGCCUUAAUUGGAACGUUUUUACUAGAGUUAUAUAUGCAUGAGGAAUAUGAAGUAUUACCA